rnacentral:lncRNA from 1 species
GUGGGUCUGUCGCGAUAUACUCACCCGUGAGCCGCGUCUUAGUCUUCUACUCAAGCAAAAACGACAAAAAAAGCAUGGAGGAAAGCACGUAAAAAGGGUAUCACACCGCGGAAGCUACACAAAGAGGUAUAGAAAAAACACUUGUCAGGAUUAAGCAUUCGAAAAGCAGCAAAAACUGCAACCUUUUCUAUCCAAUAUUGCGACAGACGAAGUGCUUGUGCGAAGAUAUGUCACAAACAAAGUACAGGAACAAUCCGUCUUGUAGACAAGAGCCCCAUUAUGAUGCAAGUAAUUUUUUUACUGCCCAACAUGAAGACAGCAUAAUGAAAUGUUGAUUGUUACAAUUUGUUAUUUGGACAAUAAAAAUACAUAAGUCUGAAUGUGAUAGAGAAUCACAUUCAGACUUAUGAAUGGUCCCGGUGACUGUAAGCUUGUUCAGACUGAUUUGGCUAACAUAGAAAAUUGGUGCACAGCUAACUGUAUGACCCUAAAUCCCCAAAAAUGCUUUUUCAUGCGAUUUUCUAGAAAAAAAACGUCCUUCCCUACUACUUACACAAUAUGUAAUACUGCAUUAAAAAGAGUAGAUGAAAUGCGUGAUCUAGGUGUACUGAUAGACGCCAAACUUAAUUUCAAAGCACAUAUCAAUGAUGUUGUAAAAAAGUCCGCACAGAUGCUAGGAUUCGUGAAGCGUAACGCUCGUGGCUUCCAAUUACCAAAGACACGAAUAGUCUUAUUUAACACCUUGGUACGUAGUCGGAUAGAGUAUGCAAGUGUAGUUUGGAACCCUUUCUACGCAGUACAUUCGCAAAGAGUCGAGGGAGUACAAAGAGCUUUCAGCAAACAUCUAGCGUUUAAUUCAAAUAAAAUAAGCCAUCGAUGUCCGUACAUACAGCGCUUGCAGUCCUUCAAAAUGAAGACACUGCGUGACCGACGUCGUUUGCGUGAUCUCAUAUUUCUUUAUAAGAUUGUGAAUGGACACACAAAAUGCAGCGACUUAACAGAACGCAUCCUCUACUCAGUCCCUUCGAAGCCUCCCAGACAUCCUAAUACCAGAAUGUUUUUCAUCCCUAAAGUCAAAAGUAACCUAGGCCUUAACGCUCCCCUACUCAGGAUUUGCAAUGAGUUUAACAGUCUUUGUAAAUUAACGAAUACCGACAUUCAUGUUUGUUCCAUUAAAAAAUUUAGAAAAACUAUCUCAGAGAUAUGGGAAUGCAAUUAAUAGCAAUAAAUAUUAAAAUAGUUUAUUCUAGUUCUUAAGUCACACUUGCUCAGAAAUACUAAUAACGUUUGUUAAAUAUUAAUAGUGUUGUUGUUAUAAAUGAUGUGUAUACCUGUAAUAGGCAUACAUACCAGUAAUGUAAUUUUUAACGUAUUUUUAUAACUUCUGUGUAUGUAUUGCUGUUGGUGUACCUAAUAAAUAAAUAAAUAAAUAAAAACACGUCGACUUUAUAAUGCUAAGAGCAUUUUAAUUCAUAUAAAUAUACAAGUACAAAAUGUUUUUUCUUUUUUCCCGGAAAGAGUUUGUGCGUAACUUUUAAGAUGUUCAUAAUUAUUGUUAAAAAUUAAGUUUUAAGGCUGAUUUGUUGGUUCUUAUAUGUAUGUAUAACACGAAACUUAAUAAUUAUAAAAAGUUAUAAAUA